AUUGAACGCUGGCGGCAGGCUUAACACAUGCAAGUCGAGCGGAGAUGAGGUGCUUGCACCUUAUCUUAGCGGCGGACGGGUGAGUAAUGCUUAGGAAUCUGCCUAUUAGUGGGGGACAACAUUCCGAAAGGAAUGCUAAUACCGCAUACGUCCUACGGGAGAAAGCAGGGGAUCUUCGGACCUUGCGCUAAUAGAUGAGCCUAAGUCGGAUUAGCUAGUUGGUGGGGUAAAGGCCUACCAAGGCGACGAUCUGUAGCGGGUCUGAGAGGAUGAUCCGCAACACCGGGACUGAGACACGGCCCAGACUCCUACGGGAGGCAGCAGUGGGGAAUAUUGGACAAUGGGGGUAACCCUGAUCCAGCCAUGCCGCGUGUGUGAAGAAGGCCUUAUGGUUGUAAAGCACUUUAAGCGAGGAGGAGGCUACUGAGACUAAUACUCUUGGAUAGUGGACGUUACUCGCAGAAUAAGCACCGGCUAACUCUGUGCCAGCAGCCGCCGUAACAC
rnacentral:rRNA from 1 species